rnacentral:sRNA from 1 species
GCCAGCCAGAGCGGACGGGUGCGAGAUGGGCACGGAUGAAGAGGAAGCGGCAGACGUGCACGGGAUGGUGUUCAUGGUGUGGGAGACACAUGGGACUGCCCCCGGAGCUCUGUUGAUGUCCCAGGCUCAGGGAGGAAUCAAAGCCACCUGGCAGAAAGCAAACUUCACUGCCUCUUCCCAGAGAUAAAGGAAAAACUUACAAAAGGAGAGAUUUGCAGACAUCCAACAGGAAUUGAAUAAAGCCAUGACUGCGACAUCUGCUGGGAAGCCACCAGGAAAUAGAGGACUACAGCCCAUGUCAAAUCGCACGCAUCUGAAGGAUGUGAAGCCUCCUUCCUUCCUUCCUUUCCCAUCCCCAGAUGGCUUAGAAACAAAGCAGCAUACAUUCUGUAGGAAACAGAAGACACCUAAGAAGAAAUGCUAAUAAGAUGGCUGCAAAGAUUAUAAAUACUUCUCAGCUAUAUAAAUAUGAAAUGUUCGUACGGUGCAGAUCCUCAAGAUGGGAUUUAGCUGCAUGACUGCCAAGUGAAGCUGCAGGUCUCCCGCCUGCUCUUGUCCAUCAAACAAGGCCAGCUCCCCAGUGACGUGUCUCCUCUAGGCUGCUGUAGACAAAGUAAGAACAUCCCCUUGUGAACUCAACAGGCUGCCACUAGGCCCUGGGUGCGGAAGGUAUCUGAUAUGUAGCUGCAGGCUGACUGAAUGGUGGCUCUGAUAAAGGACAUGAAUGUCAAGUCUUAAAGUCACUCUAAAGCUUGCUUGCUCUCUUCUGAAGAAUGAACUCAGGUGACAAAUGGAGAGAAGAAAAUCAUGAGGAAAAGCCUUCAUUAUAUGAAGUAUUCUGGAAAAACAACAUAAAAAGAGAUCCAACAGUAAAGCCCAACAAAGAACUCGGUAGUUGUUUACAGGUUUGGUAAAGCUAAGGUCUAGAUAGGCUAGGGAAAAUUCCAAAUCUUACCAAGUAUUAGACAAGUACUAAUUAAAACAGUGAUGGACCACUUUAUAAAUAGUCUCUUUAAAACCGAGAAGGCAGACCACAUCAGUAGUUAUUGGAGAUAUGAUGGACAAACCGUAAAAUAAUAUCAAUACCUUUAUAGUAUGGUCAUUGCAAAACCAAGCUAACAGUCUUCAGUAGAAAUGAUCGUGAAAGCCCAUUUUACUGCUAGUUUGCAUAUGUGUCAGCUUAGUCUUGCUUAACAUGGAAAAGAGGUAGAGGCAGCAGGCAGAAGCCAUAACCCAAGAAAAUAUAGGAUAGUCUUAAAAGGCUGAGCACUAUAAUAAACAUACACUCAAAACACACCGAUAACAUGCAUGCAAAACACAUUGAUAACAUAUAUGCAAGACACACUGAUACACAUAUACACAAAACAUUUGGGUACAUCCAACAUAAAGUUAUGUAUAUGUAACAUAUAAGCCUGAAGAAUAUACUCAGCUCCUUAGAGGCUCCUUACUACCAUAACAAAAUAACUAGAUCAGAUUAUUUAUAAAGAACAGAAGUCUUUUCUCAAGGUUCUAGGAGCUGGAAGUCCGAAAUCACGUGCUGACACAUGAGCACUUUGGUCUGUCUGGUUUGAGGACAGAGGGCAAGAACACCGUGUCCUCACAUGGAUGAGAAGUCAACUCACCAUUCACAGCCUUCCUGAGUUUCCCUCAUCCAAUCAUAAUGGCUCAUCUCUGAGGACCCCAGUGCACAGGAAGUGGGAAAUGGCUCCCUGUUUCAAUGAUCACCAGUCAUUUUAAUCACUCAAAGGGCUCAUCUCUCUUUCAUUUUUCUACUUUUUUUCUUUUUGCAGCACUGACAUUAGACUUGGAGCCUUGUGCACUCUACCAAGUGAAUUAACACAUCCAGGCCAGCAUCAUCCCUCUUAAUGCUAUUACAUCAGCUAUUAAGUUCAUUCAACACACGAAGUGUGGGGGAGAUUCCACCAUGCAAACCAUAGCAAACAUGCACUACUGGCUGACAGGAAGGACACUGAGAAACAACCACAGAAAACCUAUCAUAGACCUUAGGAGGUCACUUCUCCCUCUGAGUGUUUUUCUGGGACCUUCUUAUAGAAGUAGGGUUUCUUUUUGUUGUUAUUAUUAUUGUUGUUGAUGAUGUUGUUGUUGUUUAAGCCAUGGGUUUGGUGAGUCACAUCUGUCAUCCUAACACUUAGACACAGGCAGCAGGACUAUAAGUUUGAGGCUAGCCUGGGCUAUAAGGUUCCAAGAAGUCUUGGUUAUAAAUAGAGUGCUACUCUCUAUAUAUAAAAGUCGUGAAAAAUAAAAAUAAGAAAACAUAAGCUAAAAGGACAAAAGGUAUUCCUAGCUGUAUAAAAUUGAGACAACUUACACGUGUAAAAUACAGAAACGGGGGGUUGGGGAUUUAGCUCAGCGGUAGAGCGCUUGCCUAGGAAGCGCAAGGCCCUGGGUUCGGUCCCCAGCUCCGAAAAAAAGAACCAAUAAAAAAAAAAAAUACAGAAACGGACUAGAACCCAUUUUAUAGUGCAAUUGUGCUAACAAGGAAUGCUCGGCCACUAUCGGCCCUUUCGGAGAACAUUUAACAACAUGAGGAAAUGCUUAAUGGGGAAGCAAAUGUAGCAAAACAAUGUGGCGUUUGCUGUUGUCCGAAUCAUGAAAAUUGGUUUUCAUUUG